AGAGUUUGAUCCUGGCUCAGGAUGAACGCUAGCGGCAGGCUUAAUACAUGCAAGUCGAGGGGCAGCAUGGUGUAGCAAUACACUGAUGGCGACCGGCAAACGGGUGCGGAACACGUACGCAACUUACCCAAAACUGAGGAAUAGCCCGGGGAAACCCGGAUUAAUACCUCGUAAUAUAAUUGAAUGGCAUCAUUUGAUUAUUAUAGCUCCGGCGGUUUUGGAUGGGCGUGCGCCUGAUUAGGUAGUUGGCGGGGUAACGGCCCACCAAGCCUACGAUCAGUAACUGGUGUGAGAGCACGACCAGUCACACGGGCACUGAGACACGGGCCCGACUCCUACGGGAGGCAGCAGUAAGGAAUAUUGGUCAAUGGACGCAAGUCUGAACCAGCCAUGCCGCGUGAAGGAUGAAGGUCCUCUGGAUUGUAAACUUCUUUUAUAUGGGAAGAAAUCCAUCUUUUCUUGGGUGGUUGACGGUACCAUAGGAAUAAGCACCGGCUAACUCCGUGCCAGCAGCCGCGGUAAUAC
rnacentral:rRNA from 1 species